GACGAACGCUGGCGGCGUGCUUAACACAUGCAAGUCGAACGGAAAGGCCCUGCUUUUGUGGGGUGCUCGAGUGGCGAACGGGUGAGUAACACGUGAGUAACCUGCCCUUGACUUUGGGAUAACUUCAGGAAACUGGGGCUAAUACCGGAUAGGAGCUCCUGCUGCAUGGUGGGGGUUGGAAAGUUUCGGCGGUUGGGGAUGGACUCGCGGCUUAUCAGCUUGUUGGUGGGGUAGUGGCUUACCAAGGCUUUGACGGGUAGCCGGCCUGAGAGGGUGACCGGCCACAUUGGGACUGAGAUACGGCCCAGACUCCUACGGGAGGCAGCAGUGGGGAAUAUUGCACAAUGGGCGGAAGCCUGAUGCAGCAACGCCGCGUGCGGGAUGACGGCCUUCGGGUUGUAAACCGCUUUCGCCUGUGACGAAGCGUGAGUGACGGUAAUGGGUAAAGAAGCACCGGCUAACUACGUGCCAGCAGCCGCGGUGAUACGUAGGGUGCGAGCGUUGUCCGGAUUUAUUGGGCGUAAAGGGCUCGUAGGUGGUUGAUCGCGUCGGAAGUGUAAUCUUGGGGCUUAACCCUGAGCGUGCUUUCGAUACGGGUUGACUUGAGGAAGGUAGGGGAGAAUGGAAUUCCUGGUGGAGCGGUGGAAUGCGCAGAUAUCAGGAGGAACACCAGUGGCGAAGGCGGUUCUCUGAGCCUUUCCUGACGCUGAGGAGCGAAAGCGUGGGGAGCGAACAGGCUUAGAUACCCUGGUAGUCCGCGCUGUAAACGGUGGGUACUAGGUGUGGGGUCCAUUCCACGGGUUCCGUGCCGUAGCUAACGCUUUAAGUACCCCGCCUGGGGAGUACGGCCGCAAGGCUAAAACUCAAAGGAAUUGACGGGGCCCCGCACAAGCGGCGGAGCAUGCGGAUUAAUUCGAUGCAACGCGUAGAACCUUACCUGGGUUUGACAUGGAUCGGGAGUGCUCAGAGAUGGGUGUGCCUCUUUUGGGGUCGGUUCACAGGUGGUGCAUGGCUGUCGUCAGCUCGUGUCGUGAGAUGUUGGGUUAAGUCCCGCAACGAGCGCAACCCUUGUUCACUGUUGCCAGCACGUUAUGGUGGGGACUCAGUGGAGACCGCCGGGGUCAACUCGGAGGAAGGUGGGGAUGACGUCAAGUCAUCAUGCCCCUUAUGUCCAGGGCUUCACGCAUGCUACAAUGGCUGGUACAGAGAGUGGCGAGCCUGUGAGGGCGAGCGAAUCUCGGAAAGCCGGUCUCAGUUCGGAUUGGGGUCUGCAACUCGACCUCAUGAAGUCGGAGUCGCUAGUAAUCGCAGAUCAGCAACGCUGCGGUGAAUACGUUCCCGGG
rnacentral:rRNA from 1 species